GUAAAUUACUUACAAACUCCCCACACUGAAGGGUUGUGAGUGGAUUGGGGGAGUUUGUAAGUCAUGUAUGACUUUCUAAAAGUUUCUAGGGUUUGAAAUGUUAUUGUUCAGAUUUUCACAAUAUACAUCUCUGCUAUAAUGGAUCUCUUUGAUACUUCUUAUAACUUCAUCAGAAUACAUUCUAAUUUUUCUUUUGAAAGACCAUUCCUAAUACAGUAUGUACCUAGGAAUCAAAUGCUUUGGGAUGG